CUGGCUGCCCCGCCUCAACUCUUCCUCCCUUCCGCCCCGGCCCGGCGCCUCAGUGCGCGUGCGCCGUGGCCCCGCGUCUCCCUAGCGGCAGCGAAGGAGUUUGGAAGUUCAAAAUGGCCGCCGCGGCGGAGCCCGAGCUGCGAGCGCCCGAAGUUGAGGAGGCUGAUAUGUCUGAGAAAAGUGUAAAUGAAGAAAAUGGGGAAAUAUCAGAGGGAGACCAACCUCAGAACAAGCACAGCCGACACAAAAAAAAGAAACACAAACAUCGAAGUAAACACAAGAAACAUAAACAUUCUUCAGAAGAAGAUAAGGACAAAAAACAUAAACACAGACACAAACAUAAGAAGCAUAAACGGAAAGAGGUAGCUGAUACCUCUGACAAAGAAGAUGGACCAGCUAAAAGAACUAAAAUUGAUUUUUUAGCUCCUCUGGAAGACUUGGAGAAACAAAGAGCAUUGUUGAAAGCUGAACUUGAAAAUGAAUUAAUGGAAGGAAAAGUCCAAUCUGGGAUGGGAUUAAUAUUGCAAGGUUAUGAGUCAGGCUCUGAAGAAGAGGGGGAGAUUAAUGAAAAAGUACGAAAUGGAAAUAGACCUACAGCUAAAUCCAGCACUAAGGGGAAAUUAGAACCUGUGGACAAUAAAACUAGUUCCAAGAAAGGAAGCAAGAGUGAAUCAAAAGAAAGGACUAGGCACAGAUCUGACAAAAAGAAAAGCAAGGCAGGAAUUGAUGGAAUCAAAGAGAAAACAACAAGAAGCAAGUCAAAAGAGAGGAGAAAAUCCAAAAGUCCUUAUAAAAGAAGUAAGUCUCAAGAUCAGACAAGGAAAUCAAGAUCUCCGAUGCUUAAAAGGAGAUCUCAGGAGAAAAAUAGAAAGUCUAAAUCUCCCCCAGAGGAUAGGAAUAAGGCAGAUGAUAAAAGUAAAUCAAGAGAUCGCAGAAAGUCUCCAGUUGUAAAUGAAAGCAAAACUCGAGAUCGUGGCAGAAAAUCCAGAUCUCCAAUAGAACUAAGAAGCAAGUCCAAAGAUAGACGAUCACGGUCCAAAGAUAGAAAAUCUAGGAGAACAGAGACUGACAAAGAAAAAAAGCCAAUUAAAUCUCCUUCUAAAGAUGCUUCUUCAGGGAAAGAAAACAGGUCCCCCAGAAGACCUGGCCGGAGCCCAAAAGGAAAAAGCUUAUCUCCAAAACAACGUGAAAAGUCAAGAAGAAGCCGAUCCCCUCUCUUUAAUGAUCGUAGAUCUAAACAGAGUAAAUCCCCCUCUCGAACCCAGUCUCCAGGCAGAAGAGCAAGGAGUAGAUCUGCAGAAAGGAAAAGAAGAGAAUCAGAUCGGAGGCGUCUAUCUUCACCGAGAACACGGACAAGAGAUGAUAUUCUCUCUAGACGUGAAAGAUCAAAAGAUGUCAGCCCACCUAGUAGAUGGUCCCCAUCCAGAAGAAGGUCUCGGUCACCCAUUAGAAGGAGGUCUCGUUCACCCCUUCGACGGAGCCGAUCUCCAAGAAGGCGGAGUAGGUCUCCUCGAAGGAGAGAUAGAGGCAGAAGAAGUAGAUCUCGUCUUCGAAGGAGAUCCAGGUCACGAGGUGGCCAUAGACGUAGGAGUAGAAGCAAAGCUAAAGAAGACAAAUUUAAAGGUAGUCUUUCUGAGGGUAUGAAGGCUGAGCAGGAGUCCUCGUCAGAUGAAAAUCUUGAAGACUUUGAUUUGGAAGAAGAGGAUGAAGAAGCAGAAAUAAGACAAAGACGGUUACAGCGGCAAGCAAUUGUUCAGAAAUACAAAGGCCAGACAGAAGACAGUAAUAUGUCUGUACCAUCUGAACCAAGCAGUCCUCAAAGUAGUACACGUAGUCGCUCAAAUUCACCAGAUGACAUCCUAGAAAGAGUAGCUGCUGAUGUUAAAGAGUAUGAGCGGGAAAAUGUUGACACAUUUGAGGCAUCAGUAAAAGCCAAGCACAACCUAAUGACAGUUGAGCAGAACAACGGUUCAGCUCAGAAGAAGCUGCUAGCUCCUGAUAUGUUCACAGAAUCAGAUGAUAUGUUUGCUGCAUACUUUGAUAGUGCUCGUCUAAGGGCUGCUGGGUUUGGAAAAGAUUUUAAGGAAAACCCCAAUCUCAGGGAUAACUGGACUGAUGCAGAAGGCUAUUAUCGUGUUAACAUAGGCGAAGUUCUAGAUAAACGUUACAAUGUCUAUGGUUAUACGGGCCAGGGAGUCUUUAGUAACGUAGUGCGAGCCAGGGAUAUGGCAAGAGCAAACCAAGAAGUAGCUGUUAAAAUCAUCAGGAACAACGAACUUAUGCAAAAAACUGGCCUAAAAGAACUGGAAUUUUUGAAGAAGCUCAAUGAUGCAGAUCCUGAUGACAAGUUUCAUUGUCUACGAUUAUUCAGGCAUUUCUACCACAAACAGCAUCUCUGUCUCGUAUUUGAGCCACUCAGUAUGAAUUUACGAGAAGUGUUGAAAAAGUAUGGGAAAGAUGUUGGUCUCCAUAUUAAAGCUGUGCGUUCCUACAGCCAGCAGUUGUUCUUGGCAUUAAAACUUCUUAAAAGAUGCAAUAUCCUACAUGCAGACAUUAAACCAGAUAAUAUUUUGGUGAAUGAGUCUAAAACGAUAUUAAAGCUUUGUGAUUUUGGAUCAGCUUCACAUGUUGCAGAUAACGAUAUCACACCGUAUCUCGUUAGUAGAUUUUAUCGAGCUCCUGAAAUCAUUAUAGGAAAAAUCUAUGACUAUGGUAUAGAUAUGUGGUCUGUAGGCUGCACAUUAUAUGAACUUUAUACAGGAAAAAUACUCUUUCCUGGCAAAACCAAUAACCAUAUGCUGAAACUAGCCAUGGAUCUCAAAGGAAAGAUGCCCAACAAGAUGAUUCGAAAAGGCGUGUUCAAAGAUCAGCACUUUGAUCAAAAUCUCAACUUUAUGUAUAUAGAAGUAGAUAAAGUGACAGAAAGGGAGAAAGUUACUGUUAUGAGCACCAUUAAUCCAACCAAGGACCUGUUAGCAGACUUGAUUGGGUGCCAACGACUCCCUGAAGACCAGCGUAAAAAAGUACACCAGCUAAAGGACUUGUUGGACCAGAUUCUAAUGUUAGACCCGGCUAAACGGAUUAGCAUCAACCAGGCUCUUCAGCAUGCCUUCAUCCAGGAAAAAAUUUAAACCAGAUGAAGAAGUUCAAAGGGUUUGAGUAAUUAAGAUACAAAGACUGAAGAAAUUUCACAGCAGUUAUUAAUGUAUAUAAACAUAAAUAUUUCCCCUGCAAAGUUGAGGAAGAAAUGAUACAUUUGAAUUAACAUCAAGGCUGAUAUUUCUUUUAGAAAUGUUAGAGUAAUUCUGUUUUGUGUCUUAUGUGAAAAUUUUCACUGUAGAACUGUUCUAAUUGCCAAGACUGCACAGAAGUACAAUGCUAAUGUAUAUCGUUGCAGUUCGUAUAUAUUAUAAAAAGAAAAAGCAUCUGUUAUAAAAAGAGCAGUAAUACUGGGUGGUUGAUUUGUUUUUAGCAGACUUGGCUUCAUUUUUGUCUUUAAAAAAUGGCCAGCAUAAAUGCUGUUUAUAUUCACAUUUUCCUAGGUGUGUGUGUGCAGGCCACAGCAGCAUGCCCUUGGUGUAGUCAGUGCCGAAGGGGGUCUGUUCCUUCUUGAGCCUGCCUGCAGGGAUGGUCUCCUCUUUUAAAGCAGGUUGUGUACAACUUUCAGUACACUGAAGGUAAGCUAACCCAUCAACAUCACCGGUGUUUAAGCUGUUAUUUUACUGGAACAACUGACAAAUGAGAGACAAUAGCAUUGUGGCAGAAUUCCCUGCAUGUUUGAUAAAUGAUCUUGUUUUAUUUUCUGGCAUUACAACCGUGGCAUAGUUACAACUUCUGUUCUGUUCAUCACAUUUAAAAUUUUGAGAGCGCGCACUUGAUGGAUAGAGCGCCUUCAGUGUACUGUUUCUUAUUACUUUAAUUUUUUUAAUCAACUUGCUAUAGACUUUGUAUACAUUUUGUUAAAUACAGUUCACUAUGACAUAGAACCAAUACUUUCAGAAGAGUUUUCAUUUAGUAAUUACAUAUGUUGGGAUCUCAUUUGAAAGACCUUAUAUCUAAAGGAUAGAUAGACAACAUAAUGAAAUUUUUAACUAUUUGUAUGUCAUUUUGAAAGUGUACUGCUUUAUGCUAAAAGUGUUUCAUUUGUUCAUUGUUUUCAUUAUUUGUGAUCAUGUUGUCUUUCAAUACAGGCAUAAACCUUCCACUCUUGAACAAAGCAGCUGCUUUUUAAAAGCGAGAAAAAGGAAAGCGAGUCACAGGCCACUCAACGCCUACUCCAUGGGUCUGAUUUGCUGAGACACCAACUUCACCUUCCUAACAAGGUGCAGCUCAAAAGAAGAUGACGACUACCAGAAGACAUGAACAAAGGGUAAGUGGCAUUAUACCUCUGAAGAACCUUUAUAUAUAUCGAUCCAUACACAGAAGGCAAACCAGUUUGUGAGAUUACUGGAGAAAGAGCAGUCUUCUACAGUAUGUGUCAAAUUGUAACUCGGAGUAGAAAAUGUUGGGAAGUGGCAAUUGCUUGAAGCUAAUAAAAGAAGCUUAAAACUUA